GGCCUUGUAGCUCAGCUGGUAGAGCGUGCGUUGUGCGAAGGCGUAGGCGGAGUCCAUGCGUGGGUUUGAAUCCCACCGAGGCUA
rnacentral:tRNA from 1 species